rnacentral:rRNA from 1 species
GAUGAACGCUGGCGGCGUGCCUAAUACAUGCAAGUCGAGCGAACAGACGAGGAGCUUGCUCCUCUGACGUUAGCGGCGGACGGGUGAGUAACACGUGGAAAACCUACCUAUAAGACUGGGAUAACUUCGGGAAACCGGAGCUAAUACCGGAUAAUAUAUUGAACCGCAUGGUUCAAUAGUGAAAGACGGUUUUGCUGUCACUUAUAGAUGGAUCCGCGCCGCAUUAGCUAGUUGGUAAGGUAACGGCUUACCAAGGCAACGAUGCGUAGCCGACCUGAGAGGGUGAUCGGCCACACUGGAACUGAGACACGGUCCAGACUCCUACGGGAGGCAGCAGUAGGGAAUCUUCCGCAAUGGGCGAAAGCUUGACGGAGCAACGCCGCGUGAGUGAUGAAGGUCUUCGGAUCGUAAAACUCUGUUAUUAGGGAAGAACAAAUGUGUAAGUAACGAUGCACGUCUUGACGGUACCUAAGCAGAAAGCCACGGCUAACUACGU